rnacentral:lncRNA from 1 species
AAAUUACCAAUUCAUUCUGCAUUCUUCAAGUCAAAUACCUACUAGAUUUCUUAUGUAUAAACUUUUGACUGAAGAAGGUCCCCUUUCUUGUUUGCAUGUGAAUGUUUAUUGUAUCUUAUGUGGAGGCGUCCUUCAAGUUGAAAUCUUUCAUUUUCUUGCUUAAGGAUCGUACAUUAUUAACAAAAUCUUUUCUUUCUUGAAGGAAAGUCAUUA